UCCUGACCAGACUGCGCGGAUGCGCAGGCUGGUCUGGAUCCAUGCUGGUCGCAUACCCACUAUGUUGGUUUUCCCAUGGCACGGCUCAAUUAUGUUUUCUACACGAUUAAUAUGAAAUUAGAAACGCAUUAGAGAAAGUAGUGUAUGUGGUCUGACUUAAAAUACUUGAGAAGUGUUUUAGUGGUAUGAGAUAACUUUUUAAGUGGUAUUUCAAUGCACAUCUUGAACAACUUCAUUUUCCAUAUAUGGACAUUCCAAUGUCCAUCAUCUUAAUAUAAACACUUGAACCUUUAAAUAGCAGGAGCCGGCUGUUUGCAAAUUUCAUAGUACUAGUAUUAUAGCGGAAUUAAUGAAGAAAACAUUAUUGCAAACAUAAUACAGAGAGCUUCUAAGUGAUAAAAAUAUUCAGACCAAAAUGUGUUCCAUCAAGGUAAUGCUUCUGUUUGGACUGGUUAUACUGGCGGCUCUUAUGGAGAAUGGACAAUGUCGGAGACGCCAACUGCUGUGCAGAAUGAACAGACGGCGGCUUGGUACAUGCACCGAUAUUGUAACGAGAACAGGUGGUCGUUCUCCAACGGCUGGACGGUGUGCCCAAAGUGGUGGAGUAUGUACGAUACUCCAAUCAGGAAGAAGAAAUAGAUGUGAUUGUGUCUCACCACGUAUACAGCUAUAGACUUCGUGUGCAUCUUUAUAUUCAGUUUGAUUCAUGUUUUAUAUAUCGGAGUAAAGGUCAUAAAACAAUUACGCUUUUCUUCUUGUCAACAAUAUGCCAGUCUUCAAGAUGGAACUUUUUAACAUGGCAACGUAUAAUUGUUUUGGAUCUUUUUUGAUAGUUCAUCACAAAUAUAUGGCUAAAUGCAGCAGCAUUUUCAAGUAACGUAUGCAUUUUGUGAAAACAAUACUUUUAUAAAUCAUGUAGUCUUUUAAUUUCACAACAUAAUUUUUUUUUUCAGUUUUGUGAAAGGUAUAAGAGUAACGCUGUACAAUAGGGGGAUCAAUAAUCUAGAUAUUGCACUGUCAUUGUAAGUGAGAGAGCUCUACAUAAAACUGGACCAUUCAUCCCAAUAAUAACAUGUUCUAAAAUCUUAAAUCUUUCCUAACUUAUUUUUUUACUCAACCAAUUGUACUAACAUUGUGAACUAAACAUACCCCAAGUCAACAUGUGUAACAGAAGAUAAAACUAAAAAAGAUGAAAACACGUUUUUGAAAAGGGACACAAUUCCCAUUUUCAUAACUUUGAAUUGAUUAUGUGCAUGAACAUUGUAACAUAUGUAUGUAUUAUAUUAUAUACGGUAAUAACUUUAUUAAACAGAGGAAGAACAAUUC